CUGUGCUUCACAUUUUCUUGACAUGGAUCAAUCUCUGAUAUAUCUGUUUCAUCUUAAUCUGAAAUGAAGGUAUGUCUCAGACAACGAGAAUCAGCUAAAGUUGCAGAUCAAUGCUGUAAACUGCUUGCAUUGCAAGGCUUGUGACAUCAAGGACCCAAAGCAAAAUAUAGAAUGGACAGUGCCAGAGGGAGGUGGUGGUCCAGGCUACUAAGUUAUGUAAAUAUAUAUAGCAACUGACUGCCUAUUUCAUUGUGAAGGCAAAUGGAAAAAGAGUUUGUAUUUACAAUAAGAG